rnacentral:rRNA from 1 species
UAGUCUGCAACUCGACUACAUGAAGCUGGAAUCGCUAGUAAUCGCAGAUCAGAAUGCUGCGGUGAAUACGUUCCCGGGUCUUGUACACACCGCCCGUCACACCAUGGGAGUCGGGAAUGCCCGAAGCCGGUGGCCCAAUCUGUAAAGAAGGGAGCCGUCGAAGGCAGGCCGGAUGACUGGGGUGAAGUCGUAACAAGGUAGC